AUUUAAGGGCAAAUAACUCAUCAUUUUUUUUAUCACUUUAUUUAAUUGCUUGGUUUUGCAUUUAUAUAUAGGAUAAAUCAGCAGAUGUUCGUAAAGCAGCUGAAGUAUGCAUUGGUGAAAUUUUCAGAGUCUGUGGUCCUGAUGCAGUGACCAAGAAUUUGAAAGAUAUUCAAGGACCUGCCUUAGCUAUUGUUCUUGAACGACUGAAGCACUCUGGGGCUUUUCAAGAAACAUUUGAAGUGGCUAAAACAAUAUUGAUGGGGCCAUCAUUGAAAAGUGGAUCAAAAGUUCACGAACCAGACGAGCACCUUUCCCAACAUAUUUCUUAACAAGUUCACGAAGCUAAAUUGUACAAGACUACUUGGCAGUAUGAGCAUUUUUGGGAGGAUUAAAUAUUUUUGGAUGGAUGUGUAUGGAUAACAAAUAUUAGUAGUUUUAUUUGUUGAUAGCUGCGCAUGGAUAACAAAUAGUUAUGUUUCAAAUUGUUAUGCUAGAUGGAUGUGACUUGUGA